UACGUAGGGUGCGAGCGUUAAUCGGAAUUACUGGGCGUAAAGCGUGCGCAGGCGGUUUUGUAAAACAGAUGUGAAAUCCCCGGGCUCAACCUGGGAACUGCGUUUGUGACUGCAAGACUUGAGUGCGGCAGAGGGGGGUAGAAUUCCACGUGUAGCAGUGAAAUGCGUAGAGAUGUGGAGGAAUACCGAUGGCGAAGGCAGCCCCCUGGGUCGACACUGACGCUCAGGGCACGAAAGCGUGGG
rnacentral:rRNA from 1 species